AGGUCCACCAGGAUCAUGCCGCAGAAGUAGUAGAUGGGCGUAUGUGGAUUGUGGAUUACUGGAUUGGAACAUUAGCAACUAGCAACGAUCGAGAAAAGGAAACAACUAACACUUGAGGAUUAUUUUUUUCGGUAUAAAAGCGUCCUCGAAACAAAACAACAAAGGAGAUGGUGUUUGUGUGGAAGAGAAGAUGACGCUUCGGUCACGUAAUCGAAAGCAGCACCCGUCAAACGACGGCCUGCGCAAACAUCGCGUGCUACACGCGGCCCGCAUAGCUCACGCCGAGUUUCGAGUUCAUCUGAUGAAGAUGAACAUGCUCCACGUCCCAGACCAAAGCUUGGCAGAGCAUUUUGUGCCAGCGAUGACGGCAAAGAGGCUGCAUGUGGCCGACGCCGGGCACACGUCAGCGAUUCACCGGAAUCGUCUCGUAAUGGCGACGGCGAAGAUGAUGAAUUGUAGAGCGAUUUGGAUCCGGAUCUGUCGGACGAAUAAGUGCCUUCGGACAUAACGGAAAGCAGCUGAGAGUCCUCGCCAGAGCCGCUGGAACGAGGAGAUUGUCCAACCAGAAGCCAAAAGAUGACGACUCCUUGCUUUGGUGGUGGAAAGAAAGGUCGUGCAUCUGGACGUGGUGGGGAUGAAUCGAUGUGGCGACAAACUGGAUGGAAGCCAUAAACCAUCCUCUUCACAGCUGCACUUUCGUUCAUUCAAUUUGCAUGUUUGUUCAUAGUUCAAUAGUUUUGUUUUGUGCAAAUAAAUUAUUUUGCGAUAAAUACAUUUUUUGUAAUGUUGUUUUGUCGGAGGAACACCUUAUUGAGGUAUUUGAGCUGUCACAAAAGC